rnacentral:rRNA from 1 species
UACGAAGGGGGCUAGCGUUGUUCGGAAUUACUGGGCGUAAAGCGUGCGCAGGCGGUUUUGCAAGCCGGAUGUGAAAUCCCCGGGCUCAACCUGGGAAUGGCAUUCGGGACUGCAAGGCUGGAGUGCGGCAGAGGAGACUGGAAUUCCUGGUGUAGCAGUGAAAUGCGUAGAUAUCAGGAGGAAUACCGAUGGCGAAGGCAGGUCUCUGGGCUGACACUGACGCUCAUGCACGAAAGCUAGGGGAGCAAACAGG